UCACAUCUCUCUCAACCUCAA
ensembl:piRNA 21ur-273 ncRNA